GGUAAAUCGGUGGUGGCGGGCGGGGUAAUACGAAGGGGGCUGGGGUUGGUCGGAGUUACUGGGCGUAAAGCGCACGUAGGCGGCUUGUUAAGGCAGGGGUGAAAUCCUGGAGCUCAACUCCAGAACUGCCUUUGAUACUGGCGAGCUUGAGUUCGGGAGAGGUGAGUGGAACUGCGAGUGUAGAGGUGAAAUUCGUAGAUAUUCGCAAGAACACCAGUGGCGAAGGCGGCUCACUGGCCCGAUACUGACGCUGAGGUGCGAAAGCGUGGGGAGCAAACAGGAUUAGAUACCCGUGUAGUC
rnacentral:rRNA from 1 species